UUAAAACAUAGUAUUUUAUCGGGCGUACGAGUGCUGGAUACAUGAAUUUAACUAAAUCUGCGCGUAUCCGAGUCGGUUCAGCGAUCAAAAACCCACGCUAGUCGGGUCCCGGGUUUGUGCAGAUGGUACUGUAUACUAGCUAUAGUAACUCUUUUUUCGUGAACAUCAACUGAUUGAUUCCCCGCAGGGCUGAAGUCGAUUUUCGAAUUUUUUUUUCUUCCGAUUUUGUCUACCGGAAUUUCGUUUUCUAUCGUGUUCGGUCUAAAUGGUACGCGCGU